rnacentral:lncRNA from 1 species
AAAAUUUUCAAACACUAUGACACAGACCAGUCCGGCACCAUCAACAGCUACGAGAUGCGAAAUGCAGUCAACGACGCAGGAUUCCACCUCAACAACCAGCUCUAUGACAUCAUUACCAUGCGGUACGCAGACAAACACAUGAACAUCGACUUUGACAGUUUCAUCUGCUGCUUCGUUAGGCUGGAGGGCAUGUUCAGAGCUUUUCAUGCAUUUGACAAGGAUGGAGAUGGUAUCAUCAAGCUCAACGUUCUGGAGUGGCUGCAGCUCACCAUGUAUGCCUGAACCAGGCUGGCCUCAUCCAAAGCCAUGCAGGAUCACUCAGGAUUUCAGUUUCACCCUCUAUUUCCAAAGCCAUUUACCUCAAAGGACCCAGCAGCUACACCCCUACAGGCUUCCAGGCACCUCAUCAGUCAUGCUCCUCCUCCAUUUUACCCCCUACCCAUCCUUGAUCGGUCAUGCCUAGCCUGACCCUUUAGUAAAGCAAUGAGGCUGUCUGCAGAAGCACCUGCCGGUGGCACUCAGCACCUCCUUGUGCUAGAGCCCUCCAUCACCUUCACGCUGUCCCACCAUGGGCCAGGAACCAAACCAGCACUGGGUUCUACUGCUGUGGGGUAAACUAACUCAGUGGAAUAGGGCUGGUUACUUUGGGCUGUCCAACUCAUAAGUUUGGCUGCAUUUUGAAAAAAGCUGAUCUAAAUAAAGGCAUGUGUA